rnacentral:rRNA from 1 species
CAGCCGUAAACUAUGCGCGUUAGGUGUACUGGUGACCACGAGUCACCGGGUGCCGAAGGGAAACCGUGAAACGUGCCGCCUGGGAAGUACGGUCGCAAGGCUGAAACUUAAAGGAAUUGGCGGGGGAGCACCACAACCGGGUGGAGCCUGCGGUUUAAUUGGACUCAACGCCGGAAAUCUCACCGGAUAGGACAGACAUAUGAUAGUCGGGCUGAAGACUCUACUUGAUGAUCUGAGAGGAGGUGCAUGGCGUCAGUGACU